rnacentral:rRNA from 1 species
GGAAACAACCCAGACCGCCAGCUAAGGUCCCAAAGUCAUGGUUAAGUGGGAAACGAUGUGGGAAGGCACAGACAGCCAGGAUGUUGGCUUAGAAGCAGCCAUCAUUUAAAGAAAGCGUAAUAGCUCACUGGUCGAGUCGGCCUGCGCGGAAGAUGUAACGGGGCUAAACCAUGCACCGAAGCUGCGGCAGCGACACUAUGUGUUGUUGGGUAGGGGAGCGUUCUGUAAGCCUGCGAAGGUGACCUGUGAGGGUUGCUGGAGGUAUCAGAAGUGCGAAUGCUGACAUAAGUAACGAUAAAGCGGGUGAAAAGCCCGCUCGCCGGAAGACCAAGGGUUCCUGUCCAACGUUAAUCGGGGCAGGGUGAGUCGACCCCUAAGGCGAGGCCGAAAGGCGUAGUCGAUGGGAAACAGGUUAAUAUUCCUGUACUUGGUGUUACUGCGAAGGGGGGACGGAGAAGGCUAUGUUAGCCGGGCGACGGUUGUCCCGGUUUAAGCAUGUAGGCUGAUUGUCCAGGCAAAUCCGGAUAAUCAAGGCUGAGGUGUGAUGACGAGGCACUACGGUGCUGAAGUAACAAAUGCCCUGCUUCCAGGAAAAGCCUCUAAGCAUCAGGUAACAUUAAAUCGUACCCCAAACCGACACAGGUGGUCAGGUAGAGAAUACCAAGGCGCUUGAGAGAACUCGGGUGAAGGAACUAGGCAAAAUGGUGCCGUAACUUCGGGAGAAGGCACGCUGGUGUGUAGGUGAAGUCCCUGCGGAUGGAGCUGAGACCAGUCGAAGAUACCAGCUGGCUGCAACUGUUUAUUAAAAACACAGCACUGUGCAAACACGAAAGUGGACGUAUACGGUGUGACGCCUGCCCGGUGCCGGAAGGUUAAUUGAUGGGGUUAUCCGUAAGGAGAAGCUCUUGAUCGAAGCCCCGGUAAAAGGCGGCCGUAACUAUAACGGUCCUAAGGUAGCGAAAUUCCUUGUCGGGUAAGUUCCGACCUGCACGAAUGGCGUAAUGAUGGCCAGGCUGUCUCCACCCGAGACUCAGUGAAAUUGAACUCGCUGUGAAGAUGCAGUGUACCCGCGGCAAGACGGAAAGACCCCGUGAACCUUUACUAUAGCUUGACACUGAACAUUGAGCCUUGAUGUGUAGGAUAGGUGGGAGGCUUUGAAGCGUGGACGCCAGUCUGCGUGGAGCCAACCUUGAAAUACCACCCUUUAAUGUUUGAUGUUCUAACGUUGGCCCCUUACCGGGGUUGCGGACAGUGUCUGGUGGGUAGUUUGACUGGGGCGGUCUCCUCCCAAAGCGUAACGGAGGAGCACGAAGGUUAGCUAAUCCUGGUCGGACAUCAGGAGGUUAGUGCAAUGGCAUAAGCUAGCUUGACUGCGAGCGUGACGGCGCGAGCAGGUGCGAAAGCAGGUCAUAGUGAUCCGGUGGUUCUGAAUGGAAGGGCCAUCGCUCAACGGAUAAAAGGUACUCCGGGGAUAAC